GGGUCGGUAGCUCAGCUGGUAGAGCAUCUGACUUUUAAUUAGGUGGUCCGGGGUUCGAGACCCCGCCGACCCACCA
rnacentral:tRNA from 1 species